rnacentral:misc_RNA from 1 species
CGGUCAUCCUGCACCUAAACAGGCGAGUCUCUACCUCUGCCUACUUGAAAUUGAAAUUUGAUCACGGUUGAUGAGGCAAUGUUGAUUUUAAGUAGCAGGCAAGCUUUAUAAAAUUCCCAUCACCCCAGAAAUAGAAAUAUUUUAUUUUUGUUUGACAUAUUGCAGGUGAGUCUCUACCUUUGCCUAGUUGAAAUUGAACUUGAUCUCGGUUGAUGAGGCAAUUUUGAUUUUAAGUUGCUGGCAAACUUUGUAAAACCAUCACCCCAAGAGUACAAAUGUUUUAUUUUUAUUUGAUAGAUAGUUACAACUAAUGGAAUUUCUAGGUCCACUAGCUUAAACCCCAGAAAUUUCCUUGCUUGAAAAUUGAUGAUAUUAGCUAAAAAUGUCACCUUGCUGGCCAUUAUAAGAUGAUCUAUAAGAGUUUAUAUAAUAGCUCUUAAAUUAAAUGUUUGUAUUGAGAUUUAUGUAUUAAUGAUUUUAAUUAUGUAUACAUCUUUUUUAUUAAUUUAAUCUAACAAUUGUUAAACUCAUUCUUAUAUAAGAUUGAAUUUAUAUUAAAUACAUCUCUCCUAUUUUACAAAGAAGGUGCACAAUUGGGACAAAUGUACUACCAUCCCUAUAUCUAGAUGUCCCUGCUAACUAAACUUUGUCUCAAUCCCGGGACCAUAUUUUCCUGUGUUUAUCUAAAAUGGUUCCUUUUCAAUUGCUCUGUCAAUGUCAUGUACAGUUCUGCCCACUACUCU